rnacentral:snRNA from 1 species
GGAUGUGUGGGUGAUCUGGCAGCAACAUCUGUCACCACAUUGAUUGCCAGGGUUGAUUUGGCUGCUCUGGCUGGCUAGGCAGGUGUUCCCUUCUUCCUUCAGUGCUCCAUGUACAGCCUUCCUGAAGUUGCACACUUGGUGGAAGAGAACGACCACCCCCAAUACAGGACCAUUCCCAGGUCGAGGGUAUAGGAGUAGCUGUGCUCCCCUGCUAGAACCUCCAAACAAGCUCUCAUAGUAGACAUUAAGUACUUACACUAUCUCCUAGAAAGUCACUCUUACUCAAUGCUUAAAUU